GUUGGGAUGGGGCAGAAUAGGGAGGGAGGCAGGGCUGGGGUAUAGAUAUAGGACUGAAGCUGAGGUUUAGAGCGGAAGUUGGGGUAUAUAGGGCUGAAGCUGGGUUUUAGAACUGAAGCUGGGUGUAGGGCUGAGGCUGGGGUAUAGGGCUGAAGCUGGGGUAUAGGGCUGAAGCUGGGGUAUAGGGCUGAAGCUGGGGUAUAGGGCUGAAGCUGGGGUAUAUAGGGCUGAGGCUGGGAUAUAGGCCUGAAGCUGGGGUUUAUAGGGCUUAAGCUGGGGUAUAGGGCUGAAGCUGGGGUAUAGGGCUGAAGCUGGGGUAUAGGGCUGAAGCUGGAUUUUAGAGCUGAAGCUGGGUUAUAGGGCUAAAGCUGGGUUUUAGAGCUGAAGCUGGUAUAUAGGGCUGAAGCUGGGAUAUAUAGGGCUGAAGCUGGGCGGGAGAGGGGAGGGGAGGAGAGGCAGGCUCUAUAUAUGCUUGCUAGCGGCUAAGCUAAAUGUACAGCUUACUAUUGUCAGCCACUAGCAGCUCCAGAGUCAACACAGUGGAGUAUAGAGGCCAUUAUAUCAGCAACAACAGAGCUAAUAACAUUGUAAUAGUAGUCCUCAUCACAGUAGACAGUAGCUAGAUUUUAGUUGAUUGUUGAUCCCAAAACACUGUGCCGUUCCUUGUUGUAGAUUUAACCAAUAAGGCACGAGGGGGUGUGGUAAAUGGCCAAUAUACGAUGGCUAAGUGCUGUUCUUACGCAAGACGCAACGCGGAGUGUCUGGGUACAGCCCUUAGCCGUGGUAUAUUAGCCAUAUAGCACAAACCCCAGAGGAACCAUAUUACUAUUAUAAACUAGUUACCAAUGUAAUUAGAGCAGGAAAAAUACAUGUUUUUUCAUACCCGUGGUAUACGUUGUGAUAUACCAAGGCUUUCAGCCAAUCAGCAUUCAGGGCUCGAACCACUCAGUUUCUAAUUAAGCAAUAAUGCACGACGGGGUGUGGUAUAUGGACAAUAUACAACGGCUAAGGGCUGUUCUUAAGUACGACGCAUCACGGUUAUAGUGGUUAUAGUGGUCCUGGUUGUAGUGGUCCUGGUUAUAGUGGUUUUAUAGUGGUCCUGAUGUAGCGGCUUUAUAGGGGUCCUGGUUAUAGCGGUUUUAUAGGGGUCCUUGUUGUAGUGGUUUUAUAGUGGUCCUGGUUGUAAUGGUUUUAUAGUGGUCCUGGUUGUAGUGGUUGUUGUGAUUGUAGUGAUCCUGGUUGUAGGGGUUGUAGUGGUCCUGGUUGUAGUGGUCCUGGUUGUAGUGGUUUUAUAGUGGUCCUGGUUAUAGUGGUUUUAUAGGGGUCCUGGUUGUAGCGGUUUUAUAGUGGUCCUGGUUGUAGUGGUUUUAUAGGGGUCCUGGUUGUAGUGGUCCUUGUUGUAUUGGUCCUGUUGUAAUGAUGCUGGUUGUAGCUGUCCUGGUUAUAGUGGUCCUGGUUGUAGUGGUCAUAGUGGUCCUGUUGUAGUGGUCCUGGUUGUAGUGGUCCUGGUUGUAGUGGUUAUAGUGGUCCUGGUUGUAGUGGUCCUGGUUGUAGUGGUUAUAGUGGUCCUGGUUAUAGUGGUCCUGGUUGUAGUGGCCCUGGCUGCAGAGUGGUCCUGGUUGUAGUGGUUGUAAUGGUCCUGGUUGUAGUGGUCCUGGUUGUAGUGGUCCGAGUUGUAUUGGUCCUGGUUCUUGUGGUCCUGGUUGUAGUGGUCCGAGUUGUAGUGGUUCGAGUUGUAUUGGUCCUGUUCUAGUGGUCCUGGUUGUAGUGGUUUCAUAGUGGUACUGGUUGUAGUGGUCUUGGUUGUAGUGGCUGUAGUGGUACUGGUUGUAGUGGUCUUGGUUGUAGUGGCUGUAGUGGUCCUGGUUGCAGUGGUUGUUGUGGUCCUGGUUGCAGUGGUCCUGGUUGUAAUGAUCCUGGUUGUAGUGAUUGUAGUGGUCCCGGUUGUAGUGGUUGUAGUUGUCCCGGUUGUAGUGGUCGUAGUGGUCCUGGUUGUAGUGGUCCUGGUUGUAGUGGUUGUAGUGGUCCCGGUUGUAGUGGUCGUAGUGGUCCUGGUUGUAGUGGUUGUAGUGAUUGUAGUGAUCCUGGUUGUAGUGGUCGUAGUGGUCCUGGUUGUAGUGGUUGUAGUGAUUGUAGUGGUUGUAGUGAUUGUAGUGGUCCUGGUUGUAGUGGUCCUAGUGGUCCUGGUUGUAGUGGUCCUGGUUGUAGUGGUUGUAGUGGUCCCGGUUGUAGUGGUCCUGGUUGUAGUGGUUGUAGUGAUUGUAGUGAUCCUGGUUGUAGUGGUUGUAGUGGUUGUAGUGAUUGUAGUGAUUGUAGUGGUCCUGGUUGCAGUGGUUGUUGUGGGCAUAGAAAUAGAAUUCAUCAUUCAAGUUACCGAUGGCAUAAUGGGUGGAGUCAUUGCAAAUGUACCCAUGAGUUUAAAUCUAAUUGCCAGGGUUAGAGGUUUCAAGCCCUUCCUAUGGAGUCUAUUUCCACAGUUGGAGGUCUGUAGCUGGGCUACGGAGAGAUCUAGCCUUACGGCAUGGUGGAAGGAACUCUUCCAUUUACAUAAGAGGCUCUGUAAUGGGAUUGUGGAGGUAGGAGCUAGUCGUUUGGCUUUUGGCCCAGUAGCCUGUAGUAACUGGACUAUACUUCUCAAUCAUUCAGCAGAUUAACCUGGGACAGUAUAUAGUAUAGGGUCCCGUGUGGCUCAGUUGGUAGAGCAUGGUGUUUGCAACGCCAGGGUUGUGGGUUCGAUUCCCACAGGGGGACCAGUAUGGAAAAAAUGUAUGAAAUGUAUGCAUUCACUCACUACUGUAAGUCGCUCUGGAUAAGAGUGUCUGCUAAAUGACUAAAAUGUAAAUGUAUAAAUGCAUUAAAAUACUCCCAAACUUUAGGAUGAGAGGCUGGAUUUAUAUCAGAAAUAAACGUGACCUUUUUCCAAAACACAUUUUGGUAGCAGUAGUGAAGUACGGAGGAAUUUUACUUAGAAAUCAUUUUGAUUUAUAAAUAACGUUGAAAUAAAAUAAUAAUACAAUAAUUUCUUUAUGAAAAUUCUGUACAAAUCUGUUAUGGAGUGUACACUUCAAAUGUAGCUGCACAAAAAAACUAUUUUGUGUUCAAUUAUUUAAUGGCUUGUUCUUAUUAAAUCAUGUAUUGGUCAGAAAGAAGGUUACAGCAGUUAAGGGUUUAUUUGUUUGAACUGUGAGAGAUUCUAAACACAUUGACCCAGCGUCGUCUAGGAAGGUGACGGGCUACAAAUCACAUAGAAUGAUAGCAGUGAGAAACUCUUCUUUCUCUCUCUCUCUCUCCAUUACAAACACUAUGCAUGCAUCCCUAAUGGUACCCUAAUCCCUAUUUAGUGCCCAUAGGGUCCUGGUCAAAAGUAGUGCAUUACAAAAGGGAAUAGGGUGUCAUUUGGGAUACAUUCCGAACAUAUCCCAAGGGAGGCCCCAUUCUGGCUUCGUUCAGCGCAGCUAUUGUAAAGUGAUGGUCUCUCCCAGGUUAACAGUACAGGGACUGGGUGAAUGAGUGAGAGUCUCUCCCAGGUUAACAGUACAGGGGCAGGUUAACAGUGCAGGAACAGCAUUACAUUUCACCCAGGCUUUCAACAACAUUAUAUUUCACCCAGGCUUUCAACAGCAUUAUAUUUCACCCAGGCUUUCAACAAUAUUAUAUUUCACCCAGGCUUUCAACAACAUUAUAUUUCACCCAGGCUUUCAACAGCAUUACAUUUCACCCAGGCUUUCAACAACAUUAUAUUUCACCCAGGCUUUCAACAACAUUAUAUUUCACCCAGGCUUUCAACAACAUUAUAUUUCACCCAGGCUUUCAGCAGCAUUAUAUUUCACCCAGGCUUUCAACAACAACAUAUUUCACCCAGGUUUUCAACAGCAUUAUAUUUCGUCCUGAUUCAUACAAUUUCACGCUAUAGCUCAACUGUUGUUUUAGCAGAGUUCUUUUAAAAGUUAUUUCAAUAAAAAAAAAAAUGUUAAAAAAUGUGUUGGCCAAUAGGGGGCGAUAGCAUCGUAUAUAACACAAUGUAUUAUGGGUACAUGAUCACGAUAGUACAGCGGCUGAUGUCUCCCAACCCUACUAGUAUCAGUACUACAAUACCCCAUGUCAGGAGAUGAGCCGCAGGUCUGCAGUGUUUCUGUAAACAGGCUGAGUCUUCACCCUGGCAAUAUGACUGGGAGCUUGAGGUAAAUAAGCCCCCCCCCACACACACACACACUGUACAACCCCCCUCCCACACACACACAAACACACACACACACACUGUACAACCCCCCCCCACACACACACACACACACACACACUGUACAACCCCCCUCCCACACACACACACACACACACACACACACACACACACAC
rnacentral:tRNA from 1 species